GACGAACGCUGGCGGCGUGCUUAACACAUGCAAGUCGAACGAUGAAGAAAAGAAUUGCAGCUUCGGCAGAAAUUCAUUUCGGAUUAGUGGCAGACGGGUGAGUAACGCGUGAGCAACCUACCUCUUACAAAGGGAUAGCCUCGGGAAACCGGGAUUAAUACCAUAUAACAUUGCGACGAAGCAUUUCGAUGCAAUCAAAGCUACGGCGGUAAGAGAUGGGCUCGCGUCCCAUUAACCAGAUGGUGAGGUAACGGCUCACCAUAGUAACGAUGGGUAACCGGCCUGAGAGGGUGAACGGUCACACUGGAACUGAGACACGGUCCAGACUCCUACGGGAGGCAGCAGUGGGGAAUAUUGCACAAUGGAGGGAACUCUGAUGCAGCGACGCCGCGUGAGUGACGAAGGAAUUCGUUUCGUAAAACUCUGUUCUAUGGGAAGAAAAGGACUGUACCAUAGGAGAAAGCUCCGGCUAAAUACGUG
rnacentral:rRNA from 1 species